CAUGCACCUGUGGGGUCCCUCAGCCUGGCCUGUGGGGAAUCGGGUGAAACCAGCUCUCCAACAUCCCCUGAGGGGUCUUGGAUUGUAAGAGGGCACAGGCCAGGCUGAGGGACCCCAUUGGUGCAAG
rfam:Myotis brandtii contig272501, whole genome shotgun sequence.